rnacentral:rRNA from 1 species
AUGCAGGUGUGGGUGGACGACGACGCCCAGUCCAAGCGACUCGAGGUGACACUAGCCCCCUUAAAAGUGCCCAAGCCCAGAAGGCCUCUGCUCUCCGAAGCCAUCGAUCUCUCAACGCUCAUGGCGGACGCCAUGUACGUGGGCUUCUCGGCGUCGUCAGGAGUCGUGUCCGGGCAUCACUACCUGCUCGGAUGGAGCUUCAGCUUGGAUGGGCCUGCCCCGCCACUGGACUUCUCCAAGCUUCCUGCCCUACCACGCCUGGGGCCCAAGCCUCGGUCCAAGGUCCUGGCCAUCGUCUUGCCACUGGCCAGCGUGUUGCUCGUCGUAACGGCGCUGGCUGCGGUCUUCUUCUUUCUAUGGCGUCGGCGCCGGUUCGCGGAGGUGCGUGAAGGCUGGGAAGAUGAGUUCGGCCCCCACCGAUAUGCAUACAAGGAUCUGCAUCGUGCCACGGAUGGGUUCACCGAGAGGAAUUUACUGGGCGUGGGAGGGUUCGGGAGAGUGUACAAAGGUCUCCUUUCUGCGUCCAAUUUGGAGAUAGCAGUGAAGAGGGUGUCACAUGAAUCAAGGCAAGGACUGCGAGAGUUCGUUGCCGAGAUGGCGAGCAUUGGCCGUCUACGGCACCGGAAUCUCGUGCAGUUAUUGGGCUACUGCCGGCGCAAGGACGAGCUUAUCUUGGUGUAUGACUACAUGUCAAAUGGCAGCCUUGACAAGUAUUUGCACGAUCCGAACAUGCCAGCCAUAUUUUGGCCAGAAAGGUUCUCGAUCAUCAAAGGGGUUGCAUCGGGAUUGCUGUAUCUCCAUGAAGAUUGGGAAAAAGUUGUCAUCCAUCGAGAUAUCAAGGCAAACAAUGUGCUCUUGGAUGAACAGAUGAAUGGAUGCCUCGGCGAUUUCGGCCUGGCAAGGUUAUACGACCAUGGAACCGUUGCACAAACAACCCAUGUUGUCGGCACCAUGGGAUACCUUGCACCGGAGCUUGUGCGCACCGGGAAGGCGACACCCUUAACUGAUGUAUUCGCAUUCGGUGUGUUUCUCCUCGAAGUUGCAUGUGGACAACGACCAAUCGAGCGAGGCGAUCGAAACAACCAUGUAGUGAUGAUUGAUUGGGUGCUUGAGCGACACCGCAACGGAUUGUUACUCAAAGCGGUGGAUCCACGACUAGUGGGAAUGUUUGACAUAGAGGAGGUUAUCCUUGUGCUGCAACUAGGUUUGUUGUGCUCCCACCCAUUGCCUGAUGCAAGGCCCAGUAUGCGAAAGGUCAUGCAAUACCUAGAUCGUGGGCAAUCGGUUCCUGACCUCUCGCCAACUUACAUGAGCUACAGUAUGUUAGCGCUAAUGCAGGUCGAAGGCUUCGAUUCGUACAUUAUGUCGUACCCUCCAUCAGCGACUAGCAGUGUUGCGGUGUCUUACGGGUCUUCGGCGACCGUUCUUGCCGAGGGAAGAUGA